GAUGAACGCUGGCGGCGUGCCUAAUACAUGCAAGUCGAGCGAACGGACGAGAAGCUUGCUUCUCUGAUGUUAGCGGCGGACGGGUGAGUAACACGUGGAUCACCUACCUAUAAGACUGGGAUAACUUCGGGAAACCGGAGCUAAUACCGGAUCAUAUUUUGAACCGCAUGGUUCAAAAGUGAAAGACGGUCUUGCUGUCACUUAUAGAUGGUUCCGCGCUGCAUUAGCUAGUUGGUAAGGUAACGGCUUACCAAGGCAACGAUGCAUAGCCGACCUGAGAGGGUGAUCGGCCACACUGGAACUGAGACACGGUCCAGACUCCUACGGGAGGCAGCAGUAGGGAAUCUUGCGCAAUGGGCGAAAGCCUGACGGAGCAACGCCGCGUGAGUGAUGAAGGUCUUCGGAUCGUAAAACUCUGUUAUUAGGGAAGAACAGAUGUGUAAGUAACUGUGCACAUCUUGACGGUACCUAAUCAGAAAGCCACGGCUAACUACGUG
rnacentral:rRNA from 1 species